rnacentral:rRNA from 1 species
AACGUAGGAGGCAAGCGUUAUCCGGAGUAACUGGGCGUAAAGGGCGCGUAGGUGGUUGCGUAAGUUGGUUAUGAAAGCUCCUGGCUAAACUGGGAGAGGUUGACCAAGACUGCGCGACUUGAGUGGAGAAGAGGUAAACGGAAUUCCGCGUGUAGUGGUGAAAUGCGUAGAGAUGCGGAAGAACACCAGUGGCGAAGGCGGCUCGCUGGCUCGAUACUGACGCUGAGGUGCGAAAGCGUGGGGAGCAAACAGG